UACGUAGGGUGCGAGCGUUAAUCGGAAUUACUGGGCGUAAAGCGUGCGCAGGCGGUUCGUUAUGUCCGAUGUGAAAGCCCCGAGCUUAACUUGGGAAUGGCAUUGGAAACUGGCGGGCUUGAGUGCGGCAGAGGGGGGUGGAAUUCCGCGUGUAGCAGUGAAAUGCGUAGAGAUGCGGAGGAACACCGAUGGCGAAGGCAGCCCCCUGGGUCGACACUGACGCUCAGGCACGAAAGCGUGGGGAGCAAACAGG
rnacentral:rRNA from 1 species